GUUCUUCAUUUGUGUAAAAUAAAUUUUGUUCUUCCAUAUAUGCAGACUACUCUCUGUGUUAUGUAAUUGUAAGGUACGUCUUUGGUUAUUAGCUUCUUCUUUUUGGGUUAGUCUUGAUAGCUUCUAAUGGAAGAAGAUCAAUUUCAUAUGUAAAUUAAAUUUCUUAUUUGAGAUUUUGUUUGGGGUUUUCUAAAGAAGAAGACCCAAUUCGGCUAGAUUAUCCACGUGAGGUUUUAUCAAAAGUUUAUACCAUGUUAUUUAUAGUUUCUGGUUGUUAUCUCUUUCUUUUAGGUUAAUCCUCCAUAAUUUCUAAUAAAGAAGACUCAAUUUAAUUCUUUUAUCUAUCACUAGGUUAAAUUGGGUUACAAGUGUGUUGGAUUUUUUGGAUUAUAAGAAAUUUCUUGAUUUUGAUUGUUGAAUGUGCAAAUUUGAGGUGAAAAUAUGCAACAAACAUAAAAAACCUACUGGUAAGAUGAGACGGGGGACAAAAAUUGGAUUAGAUUCCCUUUUGCUUAUCAUAUAUGUAUGAAAAAACAAAUGAAGUUUUAAUUUUUGUUAUUUCAGUUAUCGAAAAUCUAUGAUCCCGAUAAAAUUAUCUGCCACAGUUAAAACCCACAAACUAGAAAGAGCACUAAUUUUAAUAAACCUUUUUAAGAUUACUAAAACCAAAAAAAAAAAAACAGAGACUUUUGUUUGAUUUGGAUGAAAAUUACUCAAUACAAACACUAUAAAGAAAUAACUGAAAAAUUCUUGAACUCUUCAAAUCAUAGCAGCAAAUAUUUGCUUGGAUUUUUUUACAUAGGAUAUAGGUAUUUCAAGAAGAAUAUUUAGGCAAUUUUGUUAGUUAAAGUGAAAGCAUAUAGAAGAUUUAUUAUGUUAUAUUUUCUCCAUCAUCUUUACUUAUUCACUCUACUAAAACGGUAAAUAUCCAAUAAUACUUCUUCAGUUUUUGAAGAUGAUUUACCCUUUUCUAUUCAUUUUGCUUUUGCUAUUAAAUACUAUUCAUUAAUCAAUGCAUAUUUCAAUGAAUUAAAUUUUUUAUAUUCAAAAGGUGGAAUUGAAGAAUUGAGAACACCACAAAAUCACCAUGAUGGCAGGACAUGUAGGUCCUGACUUACAGGUUUUGAAUGGGAUGAAGAUGACAAACAUUUUCUUUAGCCACUAAAAAAGUACAAAGUAUGACGCCAACAUUAUGCCCGUCCUAAUCUUCUUCAUCCAGAAGAAAAAGAUGAAAAAUAGAAACACACGUUGUACACACAAAAGGAUUGAAGGAAAAUGUGAAAAAUGUGAGAUCUUGUGUGCACAAAGUGAUUGAAGGACCUCAAAAUAACAUGCUUCAGUAAUCACAUCAAUUCCAAUCUUUUAGAAUAUUUUCCUUUUUUGUUCUCUGUUGUGAGAAUUGUAUUUCUCACACUCCUUUGUCUGGUUGAUGUUCAUAACUUUGAAUUUCUGCAGUUUCUUUAUGUGACGAGGUACUUUUACUUGGAUAUAAAAGAUAUGAAGCUCAAACUGAUAAUUUGUUAGACGAACCACUUAAAAUGUAUAAUCGAUUGAUUAAUCUUUUUUCCUCUAUUUCUAUGCACUUUCUAAAUUCAAGUGAUUAUAGCAUUCUAGCUGCAUUUUUAAGCUACAAAAAUUCAACGACUUCUAUUGAAAAUUAUUUACUUUGUUGGAAUAUUAUGCAUUUUUUUACCCCUUGUUGUCUUGCAGGUGGAUAUUACAGUAGCACCUAGGACUCAUGUUAUGAAAAUUGCAGGUAUUUGUUUGUCUCUUUGUAUCUGUCAUACAACAUUCAAUAUUUAAGACUGAGACAUAGUUGUUGUUGUAGGUAGUUGGUACAAUUCAUCACAGUAUGUUCUUUCUGUGUGUGUUAAUGUUUUUUGGUUAUUCUACUUUUGGGUAGAAUUUAGAUCACCCUAUCUUUGCAAUAUUUGGUAUAUUUUAGUGUUAGACACUUUAUAAUGUGUUUCUUAUUACAACUGAAAUGACAAAUUUCUUGGUUUGAUUGUGUAUUGAGAUUAUUUGAUUAAGUUUGAUGAAAACAAUGUGUACUUCAAAUUUAUUAUGAAGAUGAUAUGUGCUUUAAUGAUGAAAUAAGUAUUCAUAUAGUCGGCGUCAAGUUAUUUGUUAUUGAGGCAGAGUUAAUUUUGUUGUUGUAGAAUUGGUAAUAGUGGUAAGUGUAUGCGGUUGUGCAUUGGAUAGAUGAUCCGAACUAUAAAGAAAAUGCUCCUUAAUUUAGCUAAGGACCCAUCAAUUAAAGAAGAAACUGAACUUAUCUUAAGAUGAUGUAUAUUUUACUUAACGUUAAUUCUAAAGGUGUUGCAGCUCUUGUUGAUCUGACCAUCUUUUAAGCUGAGGUAAGCAUUAUUUACUAUAGUGCUUCCCAACACUAAGUCUAAGAACGUGUAUAUUUUUUGUGGCUAGGG
rnacentral:lncRNA from 1 species